rnacentral:rRNA from 1 species
UACAGAGGUCCCAAGCGUUGUUCGGAUUCACUGGGCGUAAAGGGUGCGUAGGCGGUCGGGUAAGUCUGAUGUGAAAUCUCCGAGCUCAACUCGGAAAUGGCAUUGGAUACUAUUCGGCUAGAGGAGUGGAGGGGGGACUGGAAUACUUGGUGUAGCAGUGAAAUGCGUAGAUAUCAAGUGGAACACCAGUGGCGAAGGCGAGUCCCUGGACAUUUCCUGACGCUGAGGCACGAAAGCUAGGGGAGCAAACAGGAUUAGAAACCCCAGUAGUCC